UACGGAGGGUGCAAGCGUUGUCCGGAUUUAUUGGGUUUAAAGGGUGCGUAGGCGGCCGUUUAAGUCCGGGGUGAAAGCCCACUGCUCAACAGUGGAACUGCCCCGGAAACUGGACGGCUUGAGUACAGACGAGGUUGGCGGAAUGGAGGGUGUAGCGGUGAAAUGCAUAGAUACCCUCCAGAACCCCGAUUGCGAAGGCAGCUGACUAGGCUGUAACUGACGCUGAGGCACGAAAGCGUGGGGAGCGAACAGG
rnacentral:rRNA from 1 species